GCAUCUGCAAAUUCAGGUGCCGGGAUUAGCCUCCUGCCAAUUCUCAUACCGCGCCAAUGAACACGCCGCGAGCGUAUUUUUU
rnacentral:sRNA from 1 species